AGGGUGUAAACGCCGCAGACUUGGUGUUGGAAGCCCUUUGGGGGCAUUCAGUGCCGGAGAGAAGUUGUUAAGUCUGCUACUUGGGGAGUACGUCCGCAAGGAUGAAACUUAAAGGAAUUGGCGGGGGAGCACCGCAACGGGAGGAGCGUGCGGUUUAAUUGGAUUCAACACCGUAAAACUCACCAGGGAAGACUGUUACAUGAAGGCCGAGAUGAAGACUCUGCCAGAUUUUCAGAGAGGAGGUGCAUGGCGUCAGUGACU
rnacentral:rRNA from 1 species